AUUGAACGCUGGCGGCAGGCUUAACACAUGCAAGUCGAGCGAGCGGCGGACGGGUGAGUAAUGUCUGGGAAACUGCCUGAUGGAGGGGGAUAACUACUGGAAACGGUAGCUAAUACCGCAUACCAUCAGAUGUGCCCAGAUGGGAUUAGCUAGUGGGUGGGGUAAUGGCUCACCUAGGCGACGCUCCCUAGCUGGUCUGAGAGGAGGACCAGCCACACGGGAACGGAGACACGGCCCAGACUCCUACGGGAGGCAGCAGUGGGGAAUAGUGCACAAUGGGCGCAAGCCUGAUGCAGCCAUGCCGCGUGUGUGAAGAAGGCCUUCGGGUUGUAAAGCACUGUGAGCGAGGAGGCGUUACUUGAAGAAGAAGCACCGGCUAACUCCGUGCCAGCCGCCGCGGUAAUUC
rnacentral:rRNA from 1 species